GUCCAUCCAGAUUCAAAUGUAGGAAAUCCGGUGGCUAUCUUAUAUGGUGCUCUGGGGACCCAUUGCUUCGAACAAUUUCAUCAUACCUUGACCAGUGCUGCCAGAGAGGGGAAAAUCUAUUAUGUCGUUAGACCUGUGUUACCUUCUGGAUGCGAAUCAAAAAGUACCCCCUGUGGAGCUCUUGGUACCAGAGAUUCCUUGAACUUGGGUGGUUAUGGUGUGGAACUAGCUCUGAAA
rnacentral:misc_RNA from 1 species